rnacentral:rRNA from 1 species
AAAACAUGUCUUACUGAUAAUAAUUUUAAGUCUAAUCUGCCCAAUGAAAAUUAAAUGGCUGCAGUAUCAAUAACUGUACAAAGGUAGCAUAAUAAUUAGUUUUUUAAUUGAAAACUAGAAUGAAAGAUUAAAUGAAAUAUAAACUUUAUAAAUUAAAUAAAAAUUUAAAUUAAAUUUUAAGUUAAAAUUCUUAAAUAUAAUUAAAAGACGAGAAGACCCUUUAGAAUUUAAUACUAAAUAUAAUUAAAUUUAUAAUAAUUUUAAUAUAAAUUAAUAUUUAAUAUUUAAUUGGGGUAAUUUUAUAAUUUAAUAAACUUUUAAAUAACUAUUACAUUAAUUAAUGAAUAAAUAAUCCUAAUUUUUAGUAUUUUAAAAUAAAUUACCUUAGG